GUGGCUCAGUGGUAGAGUAUUUGUCUUGUAUGCAAGAGGCCCUGGGUUCGAUUCCUCAGC
rnacentral:tRNA from 1 species